rnacentral:rRNA from 1 species
AACGAACGCUGGCGGCAGGCUUAACACAUGCAAGUCGAACGCCCCGCAAGGGGAGUGGCAGACGGGUGAGUAACGCGUGGGAACAUACCCUUUUCUACGGAAUAGCUCUGGGAAACUGGAAUUAAUACCGUAUACGCCCUACGGGGGAAAGAUUUAUCGGGGAAGGAUUGGCCCGCGUUGGAUUAGCUAGUUGGUGGGGUAAAGGCCUACCAAGGCGACGAUCCAUAGCUGGUCUGAGAGGAUGAUCAGCCACAUUGGGACUGAGACACGACCCAAACUCCUACGGGAGGCAGCAGUGGGGAAUAUUGGACAAUGGGCGCAAGCCUGAUCCAGCCAUGCCGCGUGAGUGAUGAAGGCCUUAGGGUUGUAAAGCUCUUUCACCGAUGAAGAUAAUGACGGUAGUCGGAGAAGAAGCCCCGGCUAACUUCGUG